UACGGAGGAUGCAAGCGUUAUCCGGAUUUAUUGGGUUUAAAGGGUGCGCAGGUUGUUUGAUAAGUCAGUGGUGAAAGUCUGUCGCUUAACGGUAGGAUUGCCAUUGAUACUGUUAGACUUGAAUAUGGAUGAGGUAGGCGGAAUGUGUAGUGUAGCGGUGAAAUGCAUAGAUAUUACACAGAACACCGAUUGCGAAGGCAGCUUACUAAUCCAUCAUUGACGCUGAGGCACGAAAGCGUGGGGAUCAAACAGGAA
rnacentral:rRNA from 1 species